GGUAUAACCAGAGGCGCGAGGGCUGUCGCUGACCCUUCACGGGGUCGUGCACGCCCUGGGCGUCCUCGUACAAUCCACCUCACCUUUGUGCAUCACCGCGUGGGCCUCCUUUGAAAGGGGGGCUUGCGUUUUUCCACACACACAAACUCCGUCGUGUAGAAUGCCUUCAUUUUGCGGUCACACGCAAUCAAUAUAACUUUCAACAACGGAUCUCUUGGCUCUCGCAUCGAUGAAGAACGCAGCGAAAUGCGAUACGUAAUGUGAAUUGCAGAAUUCAGUGAAUCAUCGAAUCUUUGAACGCACCUUGCGCCCCUUGGCAUUCCGAGGGGCACACCCGUUUGAGUGUCGUGAAAUUCUCAACCUCCUCCCUUUUCUGGGAAGGAAGGCUUGGACUUUGGAGGCUUCUGCUGGCCCUGAAAGCCGGCUCCUCUUAAAGAAAUUAGUGGGAUCCCGUCCGCCGAUCCUCGACGUGAUAAGCCUUUUUGACGUCGUCUACGGAGAGGCAGAGGCCCGCUUUCGAAUGAAAUGAACGACCCUUUUGACCUCAAAUCGGGUGAGACUACCCGCUGAACUUAAGCAUAUCAAUAAGCGGAGGAAAAGAAACUAACAAGGAUUCCCCUAGUAACUGCGAGUGAAGCGGGAUAAGCUCAAAUUUAAAAUCUGGCGGUCUUUGGUCGCCCGAGUUGUAAUUUAGAGAAGCGUCUUCCGCGCUGGACCGUGUACAAGU
rnacentral:rRNA from 1 species